rnacentral:rRNA from 1 species
UACGAAGGGGGCUAGCGUUGCUCGGAAUCACUGGGCGUAAAGGGCGCGUAGGCGGCCUGAUAAGUCGGGGGUGAAAGCCUGUGGCUCAACCACAGAAUUGCCUUCGAUACUGUUGGGCUUGAGACCGGAAGAGGUAAGUGGAACUGCGAGUGUAGAGGUGAAAUUCGUAGAUAUUCGCAAGAACACCAGUGGCGAAGGCGGCUUACUGGUCCGGAUCUGACGCUGAGGAGCGAAAGCGUGGGGAGCGAACAGG